AUUGAACGCUGGCGGCAGGCCUAACACAUGCAAGUCGAACGGUAACAGGAAGAAGCUUGCUUCUUUGCUGACGAGUGGCGGACGGGUGAGUAAUGUCUGGGAAACUGCCUGAUGGAGGGGGAUAACUACUGGAAACGGUAGCUAAUACCGCAUAACGUCGCAAGACCAAAAAGGGGGACCUUCGGGCCUCUUGCCAUCGGAUGUGCCCAGAUGGGAUUAGCUAGUAGGUGGGGUAACGGCUCACCUAGGCGACGAUCCCUAGCUGGUCUGAGAGGAUGACCAGCCACACUGGAACUGAGACACGGUCCAGACUCCUACGGGAGGCAGCAGUGGGGAAUAUUGCACAAUGGGCGCAAGCCUGAUGCAGCCAUGCCGCGUGUAUGAAGAAGGCCUUCGGGUUGUAAAGUACUUUCAGCGGGGAGGAAGGGAGUAAAGUUAAUACCCUUGCUCAUUGACGUUACCCGCAGAAGAAGCACCGGCUAACUCCGUG
rnacentral:rRNA from 1 species